rnacentral:misc_RNA from 1 species
UUUCCGUAGGUGAACCUGCGGAAGGAUCAUUAUUGGAUUUUGAAACUUCAGGCUGCUGCUGGCUCUCCUCGGAGGGCAUGUGCACGCUUGUUGUCCAUUAUUUCUCCCACUGUGCACAAAUUGUAGACCUUUCAGUAGGCCUAUGUUGUUUUUCACAAUCUCUGAAUGUAAUAGAAUGGUUUUGAAUCUUGGGAAAUACAAUACAACUUUCAGCAACGGAUCUCUUGGCUCUCGCAUCGAUGAAGGAACGCAGC